rnacentral:rRNA from 1 species
UACGGGGGGUGCGAGGCGUUGUCCGGAAUCACUGGGCGUAAAGGGCGCGUAGGUGGCCUGAUAAGGGUGUGGUGAAAGUCCGGGGCUUAACCCCGGAUCUGCCGUGCCGACUGUUAGGCUAGAGUGCUGUAGGGGCAGGCGGAAUUCCGGGUGUAGCGGUGGAAUGCGUAGAUAUCGUAAGGAAGACCAGUGGCGAAGGCGGGUCUCUGGACAGUUCCUGGACGCUGAGGCACGAAGGUCAGGG